rnacentral:rRNA from 1 species
AAGGUGAUAUGAACCGUUAUAACCGGCGAUGUCCGAAUGGGGAAACCCAGUGCAAUUCGUUGCACUAUCGUUAACUGAAUACAUAGGUUAACGAGGCGAACCGGGGGAACUGAAACAUCUAAGUACCCCGAGGAAAAGAAAUCAACCGAGAUUCCCCCAGUAGCGGCGAGCGAACGGGGAGCAGCCCAGAGUCUGAAUCAGCUUGUGUGUUAGUGGAACGGUCUGGAAAGUCCGACGGUACAGGGUGAUAGUCCCGUACACCAAAAUGCACAGGCUGUGACUCGAAGAGUAGGGCGGGACACGUGGUAUCCUGUCUGAAUAUGGGGGGACCAUCCUCCAAGGCUAAAUACUCCUGACUGACCGAUAGUGAACCAGUACCGUGAGGGAAAG